UUUUUAUCAUUAGCUUCUCUGCAGAUUCUCCAUUUCAAUUCGUCCUUCUUGUGAUUCGGUCGGGGAUUCUAGCUUCCUUCAAACACGUUAACGUGAAGCCUCCCCAGAUCAAAUUUGAAGUGAAAAUUCUAGGGUUUCAAAAACCCCCAAUUAGGAGAGAUAGCUAAGAUUUGGGAUUCAGGAGAGAAAUAAAUGGGGUAAUGGGCGUAUGCGUUGUUCUGAAGAGGGAGAUGUAGGGAAUGUCUCUGGAAUGUGUAGGCACACACCCACACCCUCUGAAUCUGAAUGAUGCUCUCAACUUCGGCACCGGGUUUUGGGACAUUAGUGUUUACGGUUUGUUGUUUGGUUGCCCAAAAGACCACCGGCACUCUCUUAUCUCACCUUUAUGAGUUCUGCAAUCCCUUGACCAAGCUACUCGAAAGGAUCUCAUUCCAAUAAAGUUGGAAGUGAAGGCAGCUAAGUUUGCCAAGCAAACAGUUAACACUCAGAUGAAAUCAUUUAAGUAUGCAAGGAUAUCCAUGAGGUAACUUGGGUUGAUGACAACAAGGCAACAAUUGUAGAAGCUACAUACACAGGACUAAUGGGUCUAAAGAGGCAAAAGUCUGUGAUCCUACUUGGUGGCCUUGCAAAGGAACUUGGAUAGUUCAAGAUAAAUUAGCCAUCACACUUCAGAGGGAUGUCACCAAAUGAACCUAGCUUUUAGAUGGCUUUUCAUGGAAUCAUAUAAGGGAGUAAAAUUGGAUGUGACUGAGCAAGGAGAAACUAUAGAAGCUAGAGUAACAAAAGCACUUAUGGAAUAUGCAUACAUAUUUGUGUUCUUUGCGAUCUUUGAAACCAUUGAGGAAGGUAGCUAAUGAAAGCGUUGCAACUUUGUAGGGGAGAGGAUGAAUGCUGAUGCAGUUUUGGUCUUUGCCUACUACAAAGAGCUGUCACUGACCCAACAUUUAUUUUUUUCGCAAUGGUACGAAGGAUAUCAAGUGAUAAGAAGUGGCACAGCUAGCUGCAAACAUACUGCAAUGGAGUAAUAUUAUUCUAUAAUUAUUGGGUUAGAAGUAAUCUAGUUUUGC